rnacentral:rRNA from 1 species
GACGUAGGGCGCAAGCGUUGUCCGGAAUUAUUGGGCGUAAAGCGCACGUAGGCGGCUUUGCAAGUCGGAUGUGAAAUCCCUCGGCUUAACCAAGGAAGUGCAUCCGAAACUGCAGAGCUUGAGUACUUAAGAGGAUCGCGGAAUUCCCGGUGUAGAGGUGAAAUUCGUAGAUAUCGGGAGGAACACCAGUGGCGAAGGCGGCGAUCUGGGAAGAUACUGACGCUGAGGUGCGAAAGCGUGGGGAGCAAACAGG